UUGCUCAUCUUCCCUCCCCUUCUCUCUCAGGUCCUGAAGGCGGCAGCGGCAACGAGCCGGCAACGCCUCCGCUGAGGUUGCGGCGAUGGAACCCGCGCGGGGUGGUGCUGGGCGGGGCGAGGGUGCGGCAUGGGCCGCUGGCCUUUGGAACACAUAUCUACAUCCAUAGCUCUGGCGGCAACGGUGGCGGUAGAGCGGAUGACGUCUCAUCCUGCUCCUAGCCGGCGACGGUGGAUCAACGCCUAUUCUAAUUUAAUCCUCCUCUCUUCUUCUUGUACAGGGUACUCUUGUAGGGCAACCUGUUCUUCUCGAUGGUGCUCCAGCAACUGCAUAAUUCAGGCUGGAGGUGAUGGAGGGCACUGUACAAGAGGACAUUUGUAUGGGAACAACAAUACACCAGGUAAUGUUGUUGGCGAUGGUCAAUUGAUUUGAGCAUAUUUGGAGACUGGUAGGCGCGCGGCCAUACUGCCCGAGUCACCACCUGAGAGAGGAUCAGAGGAGAUGGGCAGAUGCUCUAGAGGAUUUUGUACAUAGAGCAACCUCCUCUUCAUCUAGCUGAUCUUUUCUCAAAAACUUGAGCGAUUGGACUUAUGCACUUGUCCCUUAGAGUCAAUGGCCACAGCCUCUUGCAUAUUCAGUGCCACUCUUCUUUCACCAAUAUGUCUAUUUCCAAAUAUUCACGUCCUUGGUCCUUGGUACCCGACAAUUGCUCAUUAUAAUUGUCCAGCUAAUAAGCUUACGACAGAAGAUUACCGUGAUAACAAUUCUUGAUGUUUACAACAAUUAGUAUUACUGAUAAAUAGUAUGGUUGGCUGCCUCUU